CCGUGCGAACUGACAGUGGUCAACGGAUGGAUUGCGAGGUGUUUAAAGACUGGAAUAUAGUCUUAAGAGCGGAGUUUAAAACUCUCUUGGUGUCCCGCAAAUGGCCUCCAGGAAGCAGUAUUAAUAUAUGCAUGGUAGGGAGGUAUUCCACCAGAUACGAUAAAUGCAAAUACAAGCAAACGAUUACUGACAAGUUGAAGGCCGGACUGUGCGCAAAGCUCAUGUUCAAUUGGUAGUGGGUUAUUCAAAUAUGGAGUGGUAUACUUGUAUAACUACAGUAAUUACACAACGAAGAAAAAAUUUAUCGUUAUUCCAUAUCGAUAUACCUUUUGUGAAGAUAAUAAGUUGCCUGUUAAAUAAUUAUUUUCAAUAACGAUGAUAUGAAUUUGAACAAUUGAAAUUUUUUAUCGUCGUUAUUAAGGUUCUAUGAGGUGAAUUUUCAAAUUUUUGUACUUUCGUUCAUUUUUGCAAACAUACUCUGAGGUCUCAGGAUACAGUAAUAUCAAUUAUAUUUAUUACAAUACGUACGGAAGGUGAUUUAUUCUUUUUUGAUUUUUUUUUUUUUGCGUCCUUUCGUACAAGUGUAUCAUAUCAGUAAAUGAUGAUUAUUACACGCUGAUAUAUCGAUCGUCAUUUCAAACUUAUCACGGCUUAUAUUCUUAUCAAGGCUUAUAUCUUUGUAUCGAUAAGUUUACACGGUCGCGUGCCAUUUCUAUGUACUUACAGGUAUGUACGUACUGUAUAUGGUUACAUACUCAUACCACGUGUGAUUGUUGUAUAGAUCAUAAAAGUUUAUGCAUCUAUGGUGACGUAUACCUAUACGUGAUAUGGUACUACACCAGAUAUUCCAUCGACUUCGAUCAUGUACGAUCAGAUUUCUUGCAUAUAAUGUUGAAAAACCUGUAGGUAUGCAAAUCGUUUGGAAAAAUUAUUUUUUACAACAUUUUUUCAUAAUAAAAAAAACGUAUUUUAUUAUUUAUUAUAUACUACAAUUAUCAGCCGGACUAACCAGACAAUUCGAAGUGAUCAAAUGAUAUAUUCGAAAAAUAAAAGACAAGAUGCUUCGGAUUAUAAUAAUUAAAAUAAUGCAAUACCAUCGUGACUUAUUGAGAUUGAUUAUCUUUGUCAGAGGUCGCACUUGCUCACUCUCUCUAUACUUUUGCUUUGAUUGAUUUUGAAAAAUUCAAUUUUUUAUUUUUUUUUUCUAUAAUAUCAUACGAGUACAUCUACAACCGAUGUGUUGGUUUUUUUUUUCUGAAUAAUAGUUAUCAAUCACGAGAAUAUUUAUCAAUAUAUCGACUUUACAUGAUUGGGACGCAUACCUAGAAACUUCGAUGUAACCAAAAGAAAAAAAUAAAGUUAUUAAAUAAAAAGACUAAUGCCAAAGUUAAAGUUGCUGCUGCAUCGACUCGUGUAGUCGGUUUUGUUGUUAUUAUAUGAGUUUCUGUUUGUUCAAAUUCACUUCAACUUUUUGUCCGACGACUACUUAGUUCCUUAAUGCAUUAAUCAUCGUGGAAAUUUUUACGUUGAUAUUUCAACUAGGAUACGAUAUUGCGUUUAUACAAUCUCAGCAGCGCAUUGAACAAUAUUGCAAUUGAUAUUUGUGAUAAGUAACUUUACCGAUUCGAAUAUUCGACUAUUACCACAAUUCACAUAAAAACAUAAAUUGCUAAUACGUCUGGUACAUACAUGUAUGUACAUAGGAGUUUAAACAUGCUAGGUUUUGAAAUAAUUGACAAUUUUAAUUGAACAAAUUGAUUCACAUCUGUGUAUACAAUAUGGCUUCUUUUUGCGUAGCGAUAGUUAGUUAUGUAACAUACUGCUCUACAGAACAAAGUCCUUAUUACCCGUACGCACAUUUCAAACGAAGAUUGGAAAGAAUUCGUUUUUUAUUCAAUCAAUAUUUAUUUAUUUAUUUAUUUAUUUAUCUUCGUUAUUUCUUGUUUUUUUUUUUUCGUGGUUCACACGAUUUCACCCCAUCCUUUUUUUUUUGCCACUCAAAUAUCAUGUUCAAGGUAUGUUUUUCCCAAGUGCAAUCUUACUAUUCAGAUGUUUAUUCUCUUAUUCGUUUCCUGUUUUUACCAGUACAUCCAUUAUUUUAUACCGUGUUUUUUAAUUACAGGUACAUUACUUCCAGGGUGAUUCAGGAACAAUUUUCUUUGACUUCCUGAUAUGUGGAGCGUACAUUAUUAAUGAUUACAACGUUUCGUUAUAAUAAUUAUUUGCUCAUUAUUAUGAAUGUUGUUUGAUUUAUUUAUUCAUUUAUUCAUUCAUUUUUACAAAGUCUUACGCGUUAAAAGCUGUUGACCUCAACUCUGGAACACGUGUCCAUGCAUUAUGUGUAUACCUAUAUCGCGUCCUACUAUUGGAAACUCGAACUUCUGUAAGGAUUAACUUCUCUUAUAGUUACGUAUACCUACGACUUACCUUAUAGUAUUAUUAUAGAUCGUUGAAACGGAAUGGAUAAAUCUUGCCUUGGAUUUUAUAAUUAUGUACACAGAUGGCAUGAAUGGAUGAUUAUUUAAUUAACAAUGCGUGAAAUUAAACUAAUUUUAAAAAUUGUUUGUUUAAUACGGAACGAUUGCUCGGAGAUUAUGAUUUCAAAUUACCUAUUUUAUAAUCAAUUAACGAUACGUGAAAUUGAACUAAUUUUUUGAAUUGUGUAUCGAAGAUGUAACGAUUGCCAGGCGAUCAUAUGAUUGUGAAUUGGCAAUUUUAUCAUAUAAUAUUGAUAAUUUUCCGUUUUCAUUUAUUCAUCUUUUUACCGUAUCGUAUACCCACUGCGAGAGCAGAAGGCGAAGUAGGAUAAAAUCAUAAUCCGAAGUUCUAUGCAGGAUUGAAGAUCUUUAACAUUAUCUCGUGUACUGAUACGUGUAUGUCCAAAAUGCAGAUACUAUUAGUCAAAAAAGAAGUACUGAUUAUGAGUUUUCGGUGGGUUGGUGUUGGGCUUAUCCGAAAUUUUAAGCACUUGGGAUUAUUAAAUCCAAAUCCUUGUAAAUUUUCUAUAGUCAGUUCUUAUUAUCUGGAUAAUAUUUGAUUCAAAUCGAUUGCACGAUCAUCACAUAGUUCGCCGAUGACCGCGACUUUGCUAUACGCAAUUCAAUUUUUUAUUAACCCGAUAAAUGAACUUGUGACAUUAACUGUGAUAUCCUCUUUCGAUAAUAUUGAUAGAUACAACAUGAGUGUAUACUUGCGUGAUAGAUUUAAUCUACAAUUUCUUUAUUGUCUUUAUCUUCAAAAAAGUAUAACGUGAUAACAUGAAUCGUAGUCAUAAAAAUAUUGUAAGACACACGCGUAUAUGCCACCAAUAAACCGUAAUUACCGUCACUUACAUCAAACCUAUGCAAAUCUUUCAUAACAUCACGCGGGAAAUUUGCGGUGAAAAAAAUUCUAUUUUAAGAAAUCGUGUUUACAAACAAAUAUUUUAACUAGAUCUAUAUGGGGAUACCUACUGUGUAUCUCCUAUAUGUAUUUACACCCCAGUGCUAUGCGAUAUGCUUAUCAUCGCUAAAGAAAAUUCGUUGGAAAAAAAUUUUAUUUUAUACUCGGAUUUGAGUAUGAGAAGAAAGAGAAAAAGCAGUACGAUUUUAAACGUUCAGACGCGACUCCGCGUUAUUUCUGUAUUUCUAUCAAAGAUGAAAUUGAGAUAGGCGAUUGAAUAGUGAAGCUAUAGAGAUAAAUGAAGAAAAAAUCAUUAUUGAUUUAUAAAAUCUCUGCGGUAUUUCAACGAACAAAAAGAAAUAAAUAAAGAAAUAAAUGAAUUCAGUUAAUAAAAUUAAAUAAAAUAAACAUAUUCUAAAAAACUAAUCCAAUAGUCGAUAAAUAAUUCUUCGAUUUGUUGACUCAAUACUUGAGAUGUUUAUUUUCCAGUAAGCGCAAUUUCCUACUCGAUCGAAUUUUUCUCUUUCACAUGUUAUCUUGAAUAAGUAGAGAAAAAAAGGGAAGGAAAAAACCAAAUUGAAAUAAAAGAAUUCGUAAAUGAUGAGCUGUUCGAUGAUACGUACAGACGAUAAGCGCGAUCUAACAUUAUUGAUUCUGCGCUGUACUUUUAGUAAAAAAUAUUUUUUUUUAACAAAGAAUUCAAAAAAAAGUUUGCUGGCGAAAAGUGAAGAAUAUAAUCAGCCGCAAUCAUUUCGUUCUUAUUGAUCGAGAUUAUAUAACAUUACACGGUGUCUUUUGAUCGAGAAAACAAUUAUAUCGAUCAGGGCAUUCGACGACGAUUAUAUUCUAUCCAUCGAUGUCCAAGGUUUCAAAGAUAUAUUAAUAUAUUUUCACACCUUGCUUAUUACGUAUAGCGACGAACCUGGUUUGCCAUAUUUUCACUAUAUCUUAAUAUAUGUAUAACACAAACGCUUGAUAUAUUCUUCUCUUCCUUGCCCCCCACCCCUCACUUCGAUUAUUUAAUAUUCAAGUUAUAAAUAUAAUCAAAAUCAUGUACAAAUUAUAUACCAAUGUAGCAAAUCAUAUACCUAAUUUCAAAUUUCCUAUCCAUAAUAUUUCUUCACUAGUCGAAUGUUGUAAUCGAGCAAUAACGAUCUACAUAAAUGUAUUUAUACGUAUGUACAUACGUGUAACAUAUAGGUAUAGUGAUCAUAUAUACUCUGUUCGGAAUGCAAAACCGCAUUCUAACUACAUAUGAAUACGUCGUUCAUGCUGCAGCUCAUUGCGUUUUAAAUUAUUUAGAGUGGAAUUAGAACUGACACAGAUAUCGACGUCGUUGCAAUAUAAGAUAAAAUAUAUUAUAAUCCACGUACGGAUUACAUUCACCUGUACUACCUAUACGUAUAAUAAUAUCAAAGUAAAUGAUCAAAUCAAAAUGAUUGAUGAUCGAAAACAUGUGAUAAUAAUGAUAUGCUAAUGGUUGUUGAUGAAAAAUGAUAAAAAUUUGAGUGUUCGAGAUUUUAUUUUAUUGUAUUUGUCAUUAUUAUCAACAUUAUUACUAUUGUUACUGUUAUUUUGUAAAACGUCGAGACGCGCAAAAAACAUUUCGUUGUCGUAGGUGUAAAUUAUUUGAACUGUAUACGAGAAACGUCGGCUAUUUCAUUACCUUUUUAUCAAGAUGUGAAUAAUAUUGUUUUAUAUUUCUAUACGUUACAUAUCUACGUGUACGAACGAUUUCUCACACCUGUGCAUCUGUCGGACAUUUUACGUCAAAUCAACCACAUACCUACACUGCGCUCGCACCAAUUGAAGGAUCGCUCGAAUUUGGUCGUAAUAAAGACCUAUUUUCAAACGAGUGUAACUUCGUCGAGAAUGAACGGAUCGCGAUGAAAAAAAUGCGUUUUGAAGCUUGAAUCUUUGACUUUGAAACUGUCAUCCGGAAUUUGAAUUUUGCGCAGUUUUUUUCUGCAGUUUUACAGCUUUGCAGCGAUGAAUGCAGCAAUUUUGCGUUCUCCUUCUUUUCUUCUACCAUAUGUGCACCUUGCGUCGAAACAAUUGCGCAAAAAUGGCGUCGUAAUGGUUUUGUAGCUUGAAAAUUCCCUUUAGAAAUGCGCAAUUUUCAUCAUCAUGCGAUUCGAAAAUUAGUGGCACUUUUUUACAGGUACCUCGGUGCUCGUGCGGCGAUAUUCAUCUGAAAUAUUUUGUUGCCUUCUCGAAUUCGAAUGAAUCGCCCAAUUGUAUCCUGCCGGAUAACACUUUUUUGAUGACCGUACAAGACCACUUAAGUCACGUCGAUUAUUAGGCGAUUGAUCUACACGCUCACCGACUUGCAAAGAUCCGUAAUUUUUUUGUUACUCGUUUUGAAAAAUUCGUACAUAAGGAUACAAAACAGGCAUUUCAAAUACAGAGAUGACGAAAUGAUGAUAAAAUUUUGCAUUCGUCUGGCAACGUUUUGCAAUUUCAGCUACGUACAUUACACAAAGAGAUCUAUUUAAAUUUUUCCUUAAGUUUAUUUUUAGAACUUCAAAUUAAAGGGUACAAAGAACUGGUACGAGACUAAUAAAAUCAUCAAUUCAUCUCGUCUUAUACCGCGACAGAAUGUGAUAACGGUAAUUGUUGCAUGCAUGUUAAAAACUUAAUAUAAAUCAUUUAGUUUUGUGACUCUUGUCACGCCUACUCGUAGUACAUAACUUCAUAUUGUUUGUCGAUAGAACCGUACAAUUACUAGAAUAAUAUUUCGAUAUUUUAAAACAAUUGUACCAACAGUAAUGAUGACGACGAUUGUGGCUAUAUCAUGAUUUACCGCAGAACAAAAAAACGAAAAAAAAAAUAAAUGUAAUAGUAUGUGUAGUAAUUAAAAUAAUCGGUAAUUUGUAUAACUAAACCGUGCAAAGGUAUAAUGGGAUACGGGAGGAAGAAUGGAACAAGACGAAGUAGACUAGAAUAAUAAUUGUUCUCACAAUAUUGACGUGAACCAGAAUAUUUGGUAAUAUGUUAGGUAUAUUUUGUUCUCUAUUCGUUUCAGGUACGUUCAAUGAGUGGGAUCUCUAUUAUCUUAAAUGUAACGUAAUGAGCCAGCGCGCCUAAUGGAGUUGUUUGGAGGCAAAAAAAGAAUUCUCCGAUAUACUCAUUUGGGCAAAGGAAUAGAAAAUACGACAAAAAAAGAAAAAAAAAAAGAAACAGUAUUAUCGAACAACUUUAAAUUUGCAUCCGCUUAUGGAACGUUGAUAUCGAUGGAAGAAAAAAAAACUGAGAACUAUAUACGUACGUUACAGCAACAAUGUAUUCGUAGAUCAAAGGCUGCCGGAUGCCGAUGAAGAAGGAGAUGAAUUGGACGCCACCUUGACUCGAAGUAUGAAAUGAGACGUAUAUUCUGCAUUGUGAGGUUUUCGACUUAUAAAUAGAAUGACCUCUAAGGACCGAUUAUUAUUAUUGAUAUUAUUAUUAUCGAUUAAUAUUCCGGAAGUCGAGAGACGACCCAGUUUCCGUUUAUAAUUAUUCAAGUACGAAAUACCCUUCCGCAAUUUCACGCUCAUGUAUGGGUGGCUAUACGUAAAUCUUGUUUAUCAUUUUUUUAACUGCUUUUUCCUUCUUCUCAAAAGACCGAAGACAUCGAAGGUCGUUCUUGCGCUGUCUGGAGAGAUCAUUUAUCCGUUCGAUUUAACCGGAAAUGACCCUCAGAAUUGAGGUACAACCGGCACAACAUUCGGAAGAGUAAACAAUAUAAAUAAAAUAAUUAAAGCAAAUACUACCUGUGAUAUGCAAAUUUUAUAAGCGAUGAGACAUUUGUUUUUUCCUACAUCAAAGUUUGAUUUGAAUACAAUUAAUUAGAUAUAGUCUCAGAUUCUUGACAAUAAGGGGCAAGAUCUUACUUGUCAUUGUUGUUACUCAUUAAUUAUAUUUAAUUAUUUCUCCUCUGGUCAACUACCGGAGAUCAUGAAUGAGGUGAAUUUAAUUCUUUCAUGGGAUUCCAACGUUCGUAUGUCCCUGGAAAAUCACUUGGCGUAACCAUGAUUGUUGUAAUUAUUGUCAUCAUUAUUCUAGUUAUUAUUAUAAUGUUUUUUUUUCUUCAUCUUACAAGAUACAAGUUCUUAUAUGGUUGGAAUCUGGAUGCUAUUGUAACAAAUGUAGGUAAUUAAUUAAUAUGCAAAGUGGCGAUGUCACAUUUACUAUACAGAUGGUAUAGGUACGUACCAAGAGAUCAAGCCUUGACUGUGUAGUUGUAGGCAUUCAUAGGUAUUAAAACUCUGUGUCUCUAGUAUGCGUUAAGAUAUUCUCUUUCAUGCGUAUAUAAAUGCAUGCCUAUAUUCUCACUUUUGACACUGACCUACUUUUUUUCUGGAAAAAUUAAUUCUCGAAGGGUCGCGUUCAUAGAUAUUGAUAAAAAUUUAACACAACAAAAAACAAACAAAUAGGACAAAAACGAAUGAAGAAUAGGUUUGCAGCUUAUAAUCAUUGAGUUUAGCUGUUGAUUAAGUAAGAUGGCAAAAAAUGAAUUCAUUUAUCACCUAUUCGUCGAAUCUUUACGAUAUAAUGUACGUAUCUUUACAUAUUUUAACCAUAGCAGGUUUACUCUUGUUACCGAUCUCUGUUAUAGGGGCUAUUACUGCAGUGACCUCAAAUCUUAAACACGUUUCUCUUAUUAUACAGCCGUCCUCUGAGAGCAGUUUGUAAAGUCGUCGACAGCUUGCUCGCUCGUUUAACUUUAUGAAUAAAUCCGUCUAAUCUAC